UACGAACUGUGCGAACGUUAUUCGGUAUCACUGGGCUUAAAGAGUUCGUAGGCGGCCUAGCAGGUCAGGUGUGAAAUCCCACAGCUCAACUGUGGAACUGCGCUUGAAACCGAAAGGCUCGAGGGAGAUAGAGGUGAGCGGAACAGAUGGUGGAGCGGUGAAAUGCGUUGAUAUCAUCUGGAACACCGGUGGCGAAAGCGGCUCACUGGAUCUCUUCUGACGCUGAGGAACGGAAGCUAGGGUAGCGAACGGG
rnacentral:misc_RNA from 1 species